GCAUCCUAUCAGGGGAUAGUAUCAUCUAUUUAAUGCGGGUUGGCUGUGUCCGGAGAUGCGUCGCGUCUUUACUCCGCCUCCCCGCGUGCGUCAUUCACUCGCGUCUCAGUUGUCAAUCAGCACUUUUCCGGCGGUGCACGUUAUGAGUUCAGAGUGAGUGUCUGUUCACCCCUCAGUUAAUCAGCGGUCUUGAUGAUUGCUGUAAACAGUAGCCAGAGGGAAUUGUAUGCGAG